UUCGCAAUGCCCGAAAGGGUGACGAAGCGACGCCGCGUGGGUGAGGAAGGCCUUCGGGUUGUAAAGCCCUGUCAGGGGUUAAGAAAUGUAGACUCGCUAAUAUCGGGUCUAUUUGACAAAGGCUCCAAAGGAAGCCACGGCUAACUCUGUGCCAGCAGCCGCGGUAAUACAGAGGUGGCAAGCGUUGUUCGGAAUUAUUGGGCGUUAAGAGCACGUAGGUGGAUUUGUAAGUCAGACGUGAAAGCCUUCUGUUCAACGGAAGAAUUGCAUCUGAAACUACAAACCUUGAGUGUAGGAGGGGAGAAUGGAACUUCUGGUGGAGCGGUGAAAUGCGUAGAUAUCAGAAGGAACGCCGGCGGCGAAAGCGAUUCUCUGGCCUAUUACUGACACUCAGUGUGCGAAAGCUAGGGGAGCAAACGGGAUUAGAUACCCCGGUAGUCCUAGCCGUAAACGAUGGGCACUAAGUAGAGGGGUUUU
rnacentral:rRNA from 1 species